AAGAGCUCACCGCUCCGAUGGUGACAUCGGUGGCGGGUAAACCCCACCUGGAGCAAGGCCAAAUAGGAGGACCCAGGGCGCCCGGCCUGUCCUCGGGUAGGCCGCAUGACUCUUCCGGUAACGGAAGGGCUAGAUAGAUGGUCACCAUCCUUCCCAUUGCGGAAGGAUACAGAACUCGGCUUACAGGUUUACUUGGUCA
rnacentral:RNase_P_RNA from 1 species